UGAGGAAUAUUGGUCAAUGGGUGCAAGCCUGAACCAGCCAUCCCGCGUGAAGGACGACUGCCCUAUGGGUUGUAAACUUCUUUUGUAUAGGGAUAAACCUACCCUCGUGAGGGUAGCUGAAGGUACUAUACGAAUAAGCACCGGCUAACUCCGUGCC
rnacentral:rRNA from 1 species